AAUUUAUGACCCAGGCACAAACUUGGUGGCAUAGACCCAUGCAUUGUUGGCCACAGGGUUGUCAAGGUGGUCCAAGAGGUUCUCAAGAGGACCCUUCCCAGUGACAAUGGCUUGGACAAAGAAGCCAAACAUGGAGAACAUGGCUAGUCUCCCAUUCUUGAUUUCCUUGACCUUGAGCUCAGCAAAUGUCACAGGGUCAUCGGCAAGGCCGAGAGGGUCGAAGUAUUGCCCUCCAGGGUAGAGGUUGUUGCCCUCUCCUACGCCGUCAAGACCGUUGAUGCGAAAUCCCUCAACAAGCCCCAUGAGAAUGACUUGGAAUCCUAGCACUGCUAGGAUGCUCUGAGCAUGGACAAGGUUAGGGUUGCCUAAAUAGUCAAGGCCACCUUCUGAGAAAAUUUGAGCUCCGGCCUUGAACCACAC
rnacentral:lncRNA from 1 species